AAAAUAGGGCCAUUGUUAGCAAAUUUUGUAGCAGAAGCAGUAUUGAAGACUGUUGAGAACUUGAAGUAUUACAUGAGUGUUUUUUUGUUUUUUUUAUCAUCAUCUUGGUGGGAGGAAUUUCCUCCUCUCUUCUCUACAGUAAUUGAAUAACAUCCAGAUAUUUUUCAUUAUUAUUAUUUUUUUUAAAAUCUCCUGCACUGUGAAUCAUCUUGAAGGGUACACAUCACCUAAAGCAUUUUUCACCCUCAUGGUUAAGUCCAAU
rnacentral:lncRNA from 1 species